UUCAUCUUGGUGGAGCCCAAUUCAGAGAGACACAGGAACAGAAGAAGAGAGUGUUUUGACCAACUGGUUUCGAUUUGUGGUGCCGCCAUGGCUGGCCGGCUUUUCAGUCCACUGUAAAGUUGGGUUUUUUAGAAUUUUAUGGGUGCACUGAAUAUAUCAAUGGGUGCGUGUAUAAUUUUCUUUAUCUUAUUUGCUUUCUCCACCAUUGUUUCAACGCCCCUAUGCGUCUGCUGUGAUUUUAGCCAUUGUUGCAAGGUAGCUUAUUUUUCUCCAUUUCAUGGCUCUUUCCAGGACUAACCAUCUUGUACUUCCAGGCAAUUGGGCCUUCUGGGAGAGUUUGAUUGUAUAGGCUGAGGCUGAGUCUUGUGCAUUUGAGGCUCUUUCCAAGUCUUGUGCAGUUAGGUCUUUUACUUUUAUGUAUGCAUCAAUUUUGUUUGUAUAUCAUCUUCUGUGUACCAAUUAAGCUGUUUUUUAAUUGCCUAUAGUGAACCAGUGCCGUAUGGAUUUAAUUUUGGGAAGGAAAUUGUUGGGAAUGUGCUGGUAGCUCCAUUGAGUUCAUUCAGAUCAUUGCUAAUUCCUAUUAUCUAGCCUUAAUGAUAUGAAUGUCCAUG
rnacentral:lncRNA from 1 species